GCCUUCAGUUCAGACUGAAACGAAACCAUCGCUUGCCUGGGUCUUCUUGUGCCCACUCAUCCUGAAGAUCUCAGGAUAAGCCAGCCUCCAGAAUCAUCAGGAACAGCAGGUAGAAACGUUUUGAGGCAGGAGGAAGCACAGAGAGUCCCAGCAAGGCAAGGCAGUUGGCGGGUGUUGGGAAGGUGGACACAGAUGCACCGCAGGCCUUCCAGACAAACCUCUCAGGAAUGGACAAUGGAGAAGGGCAAAGGAGACCCCAAAGGUGGGCCGGGAACACAGUGUGUGUGAGGACACCUGCAAAGCCACCCGUCCGAGGAGUAGAUGAAAAGAGAAGACGGAGAGAUGACGAUGAUAAUGCUACCACCAGCUUCAAGUACCGUGUGCCAUCGCCAUGGACCUUCACGACCGUCUUACGAGGGAGGUACCACCACCCACUUUACCAGGUGAAUACACCGAGGCAGGAACCGAGAGUUUAAGGAGUCUGGCCAGGUCCGAGGUGGCGGCCAAGUCCAGAUCCAUCUGACCGAACUGCUAAGCUGCUUCAGAAGAAAACUUCCAGUUCGAUCUGCUCAGGAAGCAAUUCCGGUACAUUCUGGAGGCAAGAGCAGAGGACGAGGUGCAGAGGACAGGGUGUCUGGCUCCAUCAGUAACAUUUGACAGUUACUUCAUCUUUCUGCAUCUCAAUUUCCACAUGCCCCCAAAAUACGUACUAAUAAACAGAGCACGGUAGCAAUGGCUGAGCCGGGCGGUGGGCGCGGCGUGCUG